rnacentral:rRNA from 1 species
UACGUAGGGUGCGAGCAUUGUCCGGAAUUAUUGGGCGUAAAGAGCUCGUAGGCGGUGUGUCACGUCGGCCGUGAAAACCUGCAGCUUAACUGUGGGCGUGCGGUCGAUACGGGCAUCACUGGAGUUCGGCAGGGGAGACUGGAAUUCCUGGUGUAGCGGUGAAAUGCGCAGAUAUCAGGAGGAACACCGGUGGCGAAGGCGGGUCUCUGGGCCGAUACUGACGCUGAGGAGCGAAAGCGUGGGGAGCGAACAGG